GUGUGCUCUUCCGAUCUACUGAAGCAUCUCAAUAAGUGGAGGAAAAUAAACUAACUAGGAUACUCUUAGUAAGUGCGACCGAAGAGAGUAAAGCUCAAUAAUCUAAACUUUAAAUUUUUAUAAUUUAAAGUCAUGUGAUUUUCUAAACUCAUUGAAAUUUUUAUAAAUUAUGAUUGAAUUCAUAACUAUAAAGAGUUAUAGUCUCGUUAUUUAAAAUUUCAAGCAUGGGAAUUAGAAUUAAAGAGUCGGGUAGCUUGAGAAUGCUGCCUUAAUAUAGGUGGUACACCCCAUCUAAAGCUAAAUAUUGUAAAGAGACCGAUAGCAUACAAGUAGUGUGAACGAAAGAUGAAAAGAACUCCUAAACGGAGAAUUAAAAGCGCCUGAACUUGUCUAGGUUUUCGCAUUUCUUUAAUGCGCCCGUCUUGAAACACGGAUUAGGGAGUUUUACUUAAAUACGAGUCUUUAACUUUUAAAGUAAUUUUUUUAAAAAAGGCGAAAAGAAAUUAACUGGUUUUUUAACAUGGCUAUAGAGUAUUUAAGUCAAAACCCGAAUGGAGGUGAACUAUUCCUGCAAAGAUUGAAGUCAGGGGAAACUCUGAUGGAAGAUCGUUGGCGUUAUUGAUGUGCAAAUCAUUUGCUUUAUGUAGGUAUAGGUGCGAAAGACUCAUCGAACCUCCUAAUAGCUGGUUUCCUCCGAAGUUUCCCUCAGGAUAGCUGUAACAUUUUUAAAUAGUUAAGGAUAGUAGAGAAAUGGGUAGAGGUGUAGUGGAACUACGGUUCUGCAACUUAUUUCCAAACUUCGAACGUUCUUGAUAUAAAAAAUUACCUAAUAGGAAUUUUUUAUUUAAAUAUAUGUUAUAAGUGGGCUCUGACCGGUAAGCGGUCAUGGCGAAAAGGGAUGAACCUAACGUAUAAAUAAGGUGCCUAAAUUUACUAACAAUGAAACCAUUAAAAGAGUCCAUGUAUUUAGACAGCGGGUCGGUGCCCCUAAAAGCAGGUAUCCGUUAAUGAGUGUGUUAAAACUCCCCCGCCGAAUACUCUGGCCUUGAAAAUGAAUGGCGCAUAUAGUAAUACCGAUAUUAUACAUUAAAAUUAUUUCAAAAUUUUAAAAGUAGGGGGAUGUGGAUAUCUUAGAGAAUUUUUAAUUGUAAAAUUGAAUUGAAAGAUAUCUAUUACAGAUCCUAAUUGAAGUAGCGAUUAUCCAGGUUAAUCUCCUGGGGGCUGAUGAGGAGUAGGGUUUCUGGGCAACUUAAACGGACCCAGAGUUAGUCGAUCCUAAUCAAAUUAAAUUUAGAGAAAGGGAAUAUGAAUGAUAUUUCAUAACUAAAAUUAAUUUUUAAAUGGUGACAUUUUUUUAAACUUAUUUCCAUCAAUUAAAUACUGUUUAAUAGGGAUUUCUUUCCUAUAUAACUUUUUAAUUAAAACUUAAGAAACAGGUUAACUGGAGAAUAAAGUUUUAAUUUAGUAAAAUUAUAAUUUCGAUUAUAAUAACGGCUAUUUAAAUGAUCCAUGAAACGAUAAGUUUAUUUUUUCAAAAAUUAAUUUAAUCGUACCGAUAACCGCAUCAGGUCUCCAAGGUGAGUAGCUUCUGGCCAUUGAGUAAUGGUAAUUUAGGGAAUUCGGCCAAUUAGAGCUGUAACUUCGGGAUAAAGCUUGGCUCUGAUGGAAAUCAGAACCGAUAGUUACAAGGAGAGCCCAACUGUUUAAUAAAAACUUAGUGUCGCGUCAUACCUUUAUAAGUAAUAAACGUGACAUGAAUCCUGCUCAGUGCUGUGUUUGUUAAACUGGAUUAAUCCAUUUAAGCGCCGGUAAAUAGCUGGGGUAACUAUGACUCUUAUCAAAGUAGCGAAAUACCUCGUCACUUAAUUAGUGACCUGCAUGAACGGAGCUAUGAGGUUCUCACUGUCCCAAAUUAUCACUCAGCGAACCAACAGUUGUGGGAACGGGCACAAAUUAUCCAGCGGGGAAAGAAGACCCUGUAGAGCUUCACUUUGGUCUAAUCUUGUAUAGUUUCGUUAGGGGUGCAGUCUAGGUGGGAGAUUUUUAAUCAAAUAUGAGAAACCACUACCCUUUCUGGAAUUAUACUUACUAAAAUUCUUUUCUAAAUUUUAGGAUCGGAUUAGAUAGAAAGUUUGGCUGGGGCGGCACACCUUCGAAAAAGCAGCGAAGGUGUCCUAAGUUAAGCUCAGUAAGGACAGAAAUCUUACGUUGAGGAUAAGGCCAAAAGCUUAAUUUACUGUGCCUUUUUGUACUAGGAUCAGUUUGGAAACAAAGGCCUAACGAUCCCUAAUUAGUCUUAGGUGUGUAAGACUUGGGGUGACAGACAAGUUACCUCCGGGACAACUGGCUUGUGGCUGCUAAGAGAUCAAAUCAACGCAGCUUUUUGAUUCUUCGAU
rnacentral:rRNA from 1 species